GGAGGAGGAGGAGGAGAAGGAGAAGCAAGGAGCCAACAAAGAAUGGAUGGGACAAAAAUAGUCACUAUUAGGACAUGUUCCUAGUAUAGCACCCUUCUGCUUCUGAGUAGUUUGAGUUGCUGGUGUGUGCUCAUGGAAGGCAGGACAUAGCACCGGGCAGUAGGAGUCACCUUAUGUUACCCUUUAACUUGCAGCUGGCUUCUAAGUAACUGCUGCCCAAAGCUGUCCAUCUUCUUGAGUACUGUCGGCAACUUUUUGACAUGUGUUCAUUGCAUAUUCAUUUCUUUAAUAAAUACAUAUAUUGAUUCCCAGCACUGUGUUUGGCAGCUAUUUGAGCUGAAAAUGAAGUUGGCAGUUAAGGAAGAAAGAUGAAUCAGUAUGCAGUUUCAAAGUGGGAAUGAACAAUGGGUAUCAGUGCCUCUCUGGGUGAAAUGAGAGAUACCCAGGGCAUGGAGGACUUGUAGACGGUUUUGUGAGCUGUCCAGAAGAGUGACAUGGGUACCCCAUCUUUGUUAAGAGAAACUCUCCUUUGGGCUAAAUUUGUUAAAAUCGAGCUACAGGGGAUGAGUUGGCUGGAAAAUCCCUUAUAUGAUGAUGAGGAAAACCAGCCUGGAAAUUCUAGUCUCUGCACCCAACUUUCAAGCUGAGGGCAAUGCUCAGUAUAGAGCCUCUUUCCCUGUUGUACUGGCUUCCCACUUCCGGUGAUGGACAUGGAGAAAUUCUUGCUGAGAAUCCUGGGCAUCCUGCCUCUAGUUGACACCAGGGCUGUAGGAAGAGCCCUGCCUUUCAGAGGCACCCUCUGGGCCAUCCAGAAGGCUUACCAACCUUCCCACUGCUUAGAGCAGAGCUGGCAUUCCAUUGUGAAUCCAUGACUCAACAUAUUGCACUAGUUGUUUUUCUGUUGCUAUAAUAAAAUACCAUGGCCAAGGCAACUUUACAGAAGGAACAGUUACUUGGGUUUAUGGGUCCUAGGCUAUAAGAAUCCAUCAUGGCAGGAAGGCAUGGCAACAGACAGCUAUGGCAGCCAAAACAAGAAGCUGAGAGCUCACAUCCUCAGUCACAAACACAGAGCAGAGAAGGUGAACUAAAAGUGGAGUAAGUCUUUAAAACUCUCAUGGCCCAUCUCCAGUGCCAUGCUUUCUCCAGCAGGGCUGCACCUCCCAUUCCUCCCCAAACAGUGCCACCAACUGGAGACCAAGUAUUCAAACACCAGAACCUAGGGGGGACAUUCUCAUUCAAACCACUACAUCCAUGAUGUGUGUCCUAUUCAUUCAUAUGAGCAGUUCUUUACAUAGGAGGUCUGUCUUCUCAUUCCCAAGGCUAAGACAAGGUCAAGCUCUGUCCAGAGUGGCAGAACUAGGAUCAGAUUCCAGGGGCCCGUUCUACUACAUACACCUCUGAGUGCUCCUGAGACUCAAGUCAAGGCAAAAAGUGCAAAAUUAACCAAACUCUUGAUAUUUGUUUCUUGGGUCUUCACCAGAACCCUUCUGGGCCCCACCAUGCAGCCUUGAUCUCUAUGCAGCCUUUUGAGGCUUGGCAACUCAAAGAACCUGAGAAGUUUCAGACUCCCAUGGCCCUGGCUUUUCAUACUCAGCCCGUUUUCUUGGGAGCUUAUGAGAUUUCACAUCUUUGAGGGUUUGUUUUGUUUAUUGAAAUGAGAAUAAUAUAGUUUCUUAUGUGGUAGAUUUAAAUGAGAGCUACCUGUAAAAUAUCUGGUACAUAGUAAAUACUCACUGAAUAAGAAGAGCUAUUAAUCACUGCUCCUAGGAAAAGAAUAAUGCAGGCUGUUCAAGGAUAAGUUUACAUGGAGCUCGUUGAGCUAUAGGAGGAAGUAGGAGGGAGCAUUAUAUGGCAAUGUGCUACCUGUUCACAGGCCAUUUGCCAGCUGCCCUGGGGUGACAUCAAGGCCUUGUCCCUACAAGGCCUGUGGUGUCUGAGAGCUGGAAUAUAGCUUUCUUUGGAGUGUGAGUUUUACCUUAUCAUCGGGGCUGGUUUUCAGCCUGACCCCUGGAUGCCCUGUUAGCAGAUAGAUCUCCCGAUUCACUUCCUUCUCAGAAUUCUACCGCAUAAACAAGCUAGAGCUCCAAGAUAUAAAUAAUUCUAACUCUAAUACCAAACAGACUUAGCCACACUUUGCUGCUAUAGCCAAGGAGUGGGGAGGGUGUGCGUGUGGGGAAUUGAAGGGGCUGGGAGGGAGGGAGAGAUGUCAGAAUGUAACUGGGAGUCCAGGUAGUUAUGUGAAGGAAUGCUGUGCAAAUAUUACUACGGCACAUUCCAUCACAGCCUUCUACAAUAGAAGCUAUUCCUGAGUGUCUCUCUCACCCACUGUGGGACACACAUAGAC
rnacentral:lncRNA from 1 species